AUUGAACGCUGGCGGUAUGCUUAACACAUGCAAGUCGAACGGUAACAGGCCUUCGGGCGCUGACGAGUGGCGGACGGGUGAGUAACGCGUAGGAAUCUGCCUCAUAGUGGGGGACAACGUGGGGAAACUCACGCUAAUACCGCAUACGCCCUACGGGGAAAGCGGGGGAUCUUCGGACCUCGCGCUAUGAGAUGAGCCUGCGUUAGAUUAGCUAGUUGGUAGGGUAAAGGCCUACCAAGGCGACGAUCUAUAGCUGGUCUGAGAGGACGAUCAGCCACACUGGGACUGAGACACGGCCCAGACUCCUACGGGAGGUAGCAGUGGGGAAUAUUGGACAAUGGGCGCAAGCCUGAUCCAGCCAUUCCGCGUGCAGGAUGAAGGCCUUCGGUUGGUAAACUAGCUUUGUUACGGAACGAAACGGGUACUGUCCCUAACUACGGUGGGCGUAAUGACGGUACCGUAAGUAAUAAG
rnacentral:rRNA from 1 species